UCACAAGUAGGUGUUGGCAUCGCAAAGACGACGAUAGAAAAUAUUUAUUCCGGUUUUAAUUUUAAAAAUCUUGAAAAAGUUUAGUUUUAAUAAUGCAAUUUUAAAUGUCACAAAAAUAAUGGACAUGUGUUUUGAAGCUCACUGUUAUGGAUUUAUAGUUUUAGUAGCAUUCGUUCUGAUGAUUCUUCUUUGAACAAACCUGAUAUUAUUAUUACAGAUAUAGUUAUUAAGAUACAUAUAUUUCCCAUUAAUACAAAAUGUGCGCAGAAAUUCACUUGUUUGGAAUUGUUGCCUUUGUUGCAAUGAUCUUGAUGAUUAUAUUGUAGUGCAACUGGACGGAAAAUUUAGAAAUAAAUUGUCAUUUUACCUGACCAUUUUAGAACUAUUAGGAUUGUUAUUUUAUUAUUUUAGCUAUCAAACAAUUAAUCGAAGAAAGUCCUCUAUGCUAUUAUUGCUUCAAUUAAUUUGGAUUUUAACCGAAUAAUUUCGAUUUUAUUGGAGCAAAGCCAUAGUUAUUAAGAUACGAAAUAUUUUAUUUAUUCAAGAUGUGUGUAGAAAUGCACUUGUUUGGAAUUGUCGCCUUCGUUGCAAUGGUCUUGAUGAUCAUAUUAUAGUGCAACUGGACGGAAAAUUUAAAAAUAAAUUAUAUUUUAACCCCUGACUAUUACAAAACUUAGGAUUAUUUUGUUAUUUUAACGUUAUGGACGACGCGUCGCCAAGGCGAAAACACCUGCAAGGCAAUUCCAACAAGUUUUACCUGAGAGAUCUAAUUUUGGAUUAUGACCGUAUUUGAACUAUCAAGUGUGGACGAAUUGAAUAAAACCAGGCACCUUAUGUUAUUUUUGUAAUUGUCGUAUAUAUUGUAUUAUGUUUUUAAUAAAUUUGUCGCA